rnacentral:lncRNA from 1 species
CAUAUAAUCUUACUGCAUCUUUUUUUUGUAGUAUUUAAAUUUUUUUUUUUUUUUAUUAUAUGUUCUAUAGUGGUACUAUCAACAAGAAGAAAAAAAAACCUCGCAAUACUAUAAAUUCUAAAUUUUUAAAAAUUAGGAAAAGAAAAAGAGACGUUGAUGAAAUAUACAAUGACUACCAUGAAAAAGGAGCUCCUAAACAUGAUGAGGAUGAACAGUGCGGUGCACUAAUUAAAUGCUAUGCUUGUGAUAUCAUUUUUAUAAGUGAAAAAGCAAAGGAGCAGCAUGAGAAGACGAAAAAACAUAAGAGACGAAUCAAGAUGUUAACUAAAGAAACACCAUAUACCUAUAAAGAUGCCCUUAAAGCUGCAGAAAUAACACUUUAGUCUAUGCAUAUGCAUGCGCAUACACAUACAUAUACACAUGAGUGUUGAUAAUACGUUAUGUACAUAUGUAUACAUACACGCACAUAUAUAUAAGUUUAUAAAAAUAGCACUUUUUUUUUUUUUUAAACAUUUUUUAAAGAAACAAGUUUUGUUAGUUUUAAAAAUAAAUACAAAUUAUAUAUAGUGUCA